UGACCAGAAAAAGAAUUAUUCUUUAAACUCUAAUAAAAGAAAUAAUAUUGAUCCCUUUGACAGUUAAUUUUUUACAAAUUAAUGAAAUGAUAAACUUCUAAAACUAAAGUAACAACAAAAGUCACAGAGUGCACAUUAGAUUAAAAAUGUUUCUAGUUCUGGUUCCUUCUAGUAGAUAUCUAGAAAACACAGUUGUGCAAUGCCUACUCUAUUUUUAAAGAAUUUACUUUCCUAAAAAUCUCAUUCUCGUUGUCCUGAAAUCCUAGGAGACCCUAUGAGAUCCUUGUUCCUUGUCUUGAGAAGAUCGAAAGAAGCAUUUGAGUCCAGAGACAUUUUUGUGGGUGAGCUUCAGGAUAGCAAGCUCAGAUGCUUUCAAGGAAAAUAACAAAAAUGAAUAAAGGAGUCUCAUGUGACGUGAAAGUAUCAGUACCUCUAAAAGUAACAGCAAUCUCCAUAAAAAGGGCUGAUCCAACACUGCCAGGGUUUCAAGUAUCUGGAAGGAAGUCAAUCUGAUCCAGAUCAUUUCUACACAUGCUCCACCAAAUUGUAUAGCGGAUUCUGCUUAUAAUGUGUUAUAACUUGUGAUCUACAUUGUUCUGGGAUGAAAAGUCACACAAUCAAACACAAAAGAUUAAUUCAUUGGACGUCAAAUAUACAGGUAUUAGAGAUAACCUAAUGACUAUAUGGUUAUUGACCAAAUUUUGUUUCAAAAUUGCUUCAAUUAUUUAUUUCCUGAUAUAAAAUAACACUUUUGUGAAGGAUUUAAAGUAAUGGAAUCAGGAAGUAAAGUAGAAUUUCUAGAAUUGGUUGGAUUAUUUGAACAUGACUUUGUCUAUGUUCAGGACUUGUGACCAUCAGAAGCUGGCAGUUAUAGGCAGCCCCUGGAUCUUUGAGUGGUAAGAAGCACCUGAAGAAUUUUACAUUUAUUCAUUGCAUGCAUUUACCCAAGUAUUUGUUCCUGCUUCUUUAGCAUUUUUCAAAAAGUCUUUGGAAAGCAGGCUAUAAACUGACAAUGGUAGUCUUUAAAGAAAGCUUCUUCUUCUUUUUUUUUCUUUUCUUUUUUUUUUCUUUUUUUUAAUGUGAGAAGAAGGUGAGGAGAAGAGAUUUUGUUUUUCUAAUAAAAACAGCACAGCUUGGUGAAUAUGAUACCUU
rnacentral:lncRNA from 12 species